rnacentral:rRNA from 1 species
AUGUACGUCCCCGACGAUACCCUGGCCCGUGACACGGAGCACGGCCACGGCACGCACGUGGCCCCCACAGCUGCCGACAACUUCGUGGCCAACGUCUCCGUCAACGGGCUUCCGCCUCCGGCGUGCCUCCUUACGUCCACCUGGCAAUUAGGGAUAAAAUCCAGAGAUUGCCCCGAGGCAGCCGUGCUGAGGGCCUUGGACGAGGCGGUGCCGGACGGUGUGCACGUGAUAUUGCUGUCCCUCGCCGCGAGGGACAUUCCCACGUACGACCACAGCUCCAUCAGCAUCGGCGGCUUCAACGCCAUGCAGCAAGGCGUCCACGUCGUCGUCUGCGCCGGCAACUACAGCCCGGCUGCAUCCUCCGUCUGCAACGCCGAGCCAUGGUUGCUCACGGUGGUUCCCGGCCACCGUGUACCUCGAAGGCCCAAUAGAUGA